CUCCCUCCUGACGGUGGCAAUGGCAGGGUUACAGCUGGUGGCACCUCAAACAGCACAGACCCUCCCCAAAGGAAUCCGUUCAAGAAGGUCUUAAACGACCCCCUUUCUAAAAAUUAGGGGGAAGGCUGCUAAAAAUUAGGUUUACUCAUCAAAAAUUGGGCUCCUUUGUUAAAAACGAGGGGUUUUGGUAAAAAACAGGGUCCCUUGCAGGUGCCUUGGGGAAAUGGCAACCCCGGACCACACGGCUGCAGGAAGCCAGACUCCAGGCAGGGUUAUGAGGCAGGGAGAGGAAAAUCCAUGGGAGCAGAGGAUGGGUUCUGGGGAAUACUUCUGGCAGGGGGCUGGGGGCCAUCCUGCACAAAAUUAGCUGGUCAUGCCUCAGUUUCCCCUUUCCUCAUAGCCUGUUGCAUCCUCCUGCAUCCCUCCUCAGGGCUUUGGUUGGAAACACCAGGAAAUUUGGGAAAGCAGUGAUGCCAGAAGGGAGGAAAGCCCCACCAAGACCAAACCACUCUAACCAUUCCCCUCCUGCCACAUCCCACCAGAGCAGCUGGACUCGGCACCAAGUUCAACGGGAAAAAAAGAAAAACGUGGGAAAAUGAAAUGAGGUGGAAAUGAGCUGGCAUUGGAUGAUCCAGGGCCAGCAGAUGUGGGGGAGAAGCCUUUGUGUUGCCCCACGAGCACUCAAAGGACUUAAAGGAGUUUUGGGGGGCUUCUUUGGAAGCUGUAGAUUCAGGGGGGAGGAAGCUCAUCCUGUGCCAUGGCUCCACGAAGUUGCUCAGGUUGUUUUACCAUUGUGAAAGAUAAGGAUGGGUCCAAGGUGGAAAUGAUAUGUCCAGGGUGGAAAUGUUAUAGCCAGGGCUGGAAAUCCUAUAGCCAGGGGAGAAAUCCUAUAGCCAGGGGCAGGAAAUCCUAUAUCUGGGAAAGAAAUCCUAUAUUCAAGAGAGAUAUCCUUUAUAUGCAAAGGUGGGGGAGAACAACCUAUAUCCAGGGGAGAAAUCCUAUAUACAGGUGGGAGAAACCUAUAUCCAGGGGAGAAAUACUAUAUCUGGAGAUAGGGAAUGCUAUAGUCAGGGGAGAAAACCUAUACAUGGAGGGGCAUCUCCUAUAUCCAGGCGAGAAAUCCUAUAUCCAAGAGAGAAAUCCUAUAUUAGGAGAGAGGAAAUCCUAUAUCCAGGGGAGAAAUACCAUAUACAGGUGGAGGAAAUCUAUAUAUGUGGGGGCAUUUCCUAUAUCCAGGGUAGAAAUCCUAUAAUCAGGGAAGAAAUCCUAUAUAGAGGCGGCAGAAACCUACAUCCAAGUUGAGAAAUCCUGUUUAUAGGUAGGAAAAAACAUACAUUCAUGAGAAAAAUCCUAUAUCCAGGGGAGACAUCCUAUAUUCAGGGAAGAAAACCCAUAAACAGGGGGCCAUACCCUAUAUUCACAGGAGAAAUCCUAUUUCCAGUGGAAAAACACCAUA